AAGUGGAAACAAUGUCGGUGGUUCCUGUUUAAAAAUGAAAAGACAUCAAUCAAUGUCACAAGAACUUGACCAAAGGAACAAGGCAACAUCGUUUUUGCAAUAAAGUAAUUGACAUCAACAGUUAAGACAGCAUUUUGAACAUGAACUCUUAACGAAAUAGAAAGCUAUCAAGUCGAUUUAACUAAACUCACAACUACCAAGUCUACAAAGAUGGCUAAUUACAAGGACGCUAAAACAUUAGUUUGUCAAGAUAAAUAACUCCCAACACAACUUCAAGCUAAGCCAGAAUAUGAUAACAGGUAGAAUUAGCAGAACCCCAGAACAUACAUAAUACUCAACCUGUCUUGAGUUUUCCUCCAUAUGGUCUAUUAUCGUACUAGCAUCCGAAAAUUCACCACAGUGAAACUAAAUAUUGCACUUUAAUACUAAACCAAAACUUCCAAAUUGAUAUUCCCAAUGAAUUUCUGCAACCGAACAAGCUGCCACACCAUUUUGAAGAGGCACGAUUUCAGAGGAAAAUAACUCUAGAAACUUGAAGAGCACAAUAACAUUAGCCAGCAGCAGUACAAAGAAAAAACUAAAGUAGAAUAAUCCAUUUGGGUAUUAGCUACAAUACUAGAUAUCAUAAUGUUAAGACAUUUCCAUGCUGAUGUAGGAACAGCAUAGGUUCGAUAAGGGUACAGGAAAUCCAGAAGUGCCAAAGCAGAGGGAGAGCCUCCGCGCAAUUCUUCAAAUUAACUGGUUUAAUUUCAACCAUAUUGCCAAAAGCAGAAACCUCACCGCCACUCCCAGUCUUCUGGCAAAUCUUCAACAACUGCUAGGAAGGCCUCAACCCACUAAGAUGGCACUGUAUACACGAGAUAUGCUAGUAUGAGCUCCCGAGAAAGAUUGAUUAAAUAACCAACAAAUAAAUAAACCACAAGACCACAAUAAUGCCAAGAAUAUCUCAAAAGCAAUAGAAUUUUAAUAUGAAUUAAGAUUCUAUUUUUAUACCAUUACUGUAACAUAUCACGAACCACUUCAGGAAACACUCCUAAAGAAGUCAUGUAAAUCCUAGUAGGCACCGAGGGUUUCCAGGAUAUAUAGUAUGAAAUAUACUUUAAAAAAAUUUAUGAAAGAGCAAUUCAGUGUUCCAAUCUCGAAUGGACAUGGCCCACGCCUCUACACUCUCCACUAAAAUACCAAAGCUUGGUUCACCAAUAAGAUUUCAAGCUUGUGACAUGUACCAAUCACAUGUCCAGCAAUGUCCUAGCUUUUACGUUGAA
rnacentral:lncRNA from 1 species